rnacentral:siRNA from 1 species
AUCGAGUAUUCGUCCAAACCGCCU